UGUAAAAUUUUAAAGGUCGAACAGACCUAAUAUUGUAGCUUCUACACCAAAAAUUUAUUUUAAUCCAACAUCGAGGUCGCAAUCUCUUUUUUUUAAUACGAACUCUAAAAAAAAAUUACGCUGUUAUCCCUAAGGUAAUUUUAUCUUAUAAUCAAAAAUAUUGGAUCAUUCACUCAUAAAUUUAUGUUUUAAAAUAAAAAAAGUUAUUCUAAUUUUUCAAUCACCCCAAUUAAAUUAUUUAAUAUAAUUAAUAAAUAAAUACUAAAAUAUUAUUUUUAUUAAAUAAUUAAACUCUAUAGGGUCUUCUCGUCUUUUAACUUUAUUUAAGCUUUUUAACUUAAAA
rnacentral:rRNA from 1 species